rnacentral:rRNA from 1 species
AAACUCCAAACUCCCUAUCUUCGUAGACGUCGGGCAGUCCGGAUUGCGGGGUAAGCUUGUAAUCCGUAAGGGAGACAACCCAGCCCAUGGUUAAUGCCCCCCAAUGUAGGCUAAGUGUCAACACUGAAUGAAGUCCUAGGUCAAAGACAACUGGAAGGUGAGCUCAGAAGCAGCUAUCCUUUAAAAAGUGCGUAACAGCUUACCAGUCAAGAUUUAGGGCGCAGAAAAUGGACGGGGCUCAAGCCUACUGCAGAUACCAUGGCGCACGCUAUAUGCGUGAUCGAGUAGAGAGGCGUCCUGUAUGGACAGAAGCAGGUGCGUAAGCUCCUGUGGACCGUAUAGGAAUGAAAAUUUUGGCAGUAGUAGAAGCAAAGAAUGGUGAGAAUCCAUU